rnacentral:rRNA from 1 species
UACGUAGGUGGCAAGCGUUAUCCGGAUUUAUUGGGUCUAAAACAUUCGUAGCCGGCUUUGUAAGUCUUGUGUUAAAUUAUAAGGCUUAACCUUGUAUCUGCACAAGAUACUGCAAGGCUAGGGAAUGGAAGACGUAAGAAGUACGAUUGGGGUAGCGGUAAAAUGUUUUAAUCCUAAUCGGACUAACAAUGGCGAAGGCAUCUUACGAGGACAUAUCCGACGGUGAGGAAUGAAAGCUAGGGGCGCAAAACGG